UUGUCUCAAAGAUUAAGCCAUGCAUGUCUCAGUACAAACUAAAUUAAAGUGAAACCGCGAAAGGCUCAUUAAAUCAGUUAUGGUUCCUUAGAUCGUACCACAUUUACUUGGAUAACUGUGGUAAUUCUAGAGCUAAUACAUGCAAACAGAGCUCUAACCGGAGACGGGAGGAGUGCUUUUAUUAGAUCAAAACCAAUUGUGGCGUCCCUAAGGCUCCAUGUGAUUCUGUAUCUUUGCAUGCGUUCAUAUGUCCUGGGUGUACUGUUCACAUAAUAUAAUUGGUGAAUCUGAAUAACUUGCUGAUCGCAUGGUCUCGUACCGGCGACGCAUCUUUCAAAUGUCUGCCUUAUCAACUUUCGAUGGUAGGAUCUGCGCCUACCAUGGUUGUAACGGGUAACGGGGAAUCAGGGUUCGAUUCCGGAGAGGGAGCUUGAGAAACGGCUACCACAUCCAAGGAAGGCAGCAGGCGCGCAAAUUACCCACUCCCGGCACGGGGAGGUAGUGACGAAAAAUAACGAUACGGGACUCAUCCGAGGCCCCGUAAUCGGAAUGAGUACACUUUAAAUCCUUUAACAAGGAGCAACUGGAGGGCAAGUCUGGUGCCAGCAGCCGCGGUAAUUCCAGCUCCAGUAGCGUAUAUUAAAGUUGUUGCGGUUAAAAAGCUCGUAGUUGAAUUUGUGUCUUGCGCUGUCGGUUCAUCGCUGAUUGCGGUGUUUAACUGGCACGUUGUGAGACGUCUUGCCGGAAGGGCAUGGUAUGUGUUUUACUUUAUGUGUGUCCGUAAUAUGCACUAUAAUAUAUUAUAUAUAUAUUUAGUUCAUAGCUGGUUAUUUUAAUUGUAUUAGUUGUUAUAUUAUGUGUCACGGGUUAAACACAUACUAUCCGACUUUUAAUCCUGUCUAGGUGCUCUUAACUGACUGUCGGGGCGGGCCGGCCCGUUUACUUUGAACAAAUUAAAGUGCUUAAAGCAAGCUUAUGUUGCCUGAAUAUAGUGUGCAUGGAAUAAUGAAACAAGACCGCGGUUCUAUUUAGUUGGUUUUCUGAACUGACCAGGCAAUGAUUAAUAUAGACAGAUGGGGCUUCUANNNNUGCAACGCNAGAGGUGAAAUUCUUGGACCGUCGCAAGACGAACUUAAGCGAAAGCAUUUGCCAAAGAUGUUUUCAUUAAUCAAGAACGAAAGUCAGAGGUUCGAAGGCGAUCAGAUACCGCCCUAGUUCUGACUAUAAACGAUGCCAGCUAGCGAUCGGCCGAAGUUCCUCCGAUGACUCGGUCGGCAGCUUCCGGGAAACCAAAGCCUUUGGGUUCCGGGGGAAGUAUGGUUGCAAAGCUGAAACUUAAAGGAAUUGACGGAAGGGCACCACCAGGAGUGGAGCUUGCGGCUUAAUUUGACUCAACACGGGAAACCUCACCAGGCCCAGACACCGGAAGGAUUGACAGAUUGAGAGCUCUUUCUUGAUUCGGUGGGUGGUGGUGCAUGGCCGUUCUUAGUUGGUGGAGCGAUUUGUCUGGUUAAUUCCGAUAACGAGCGAGACUCUAGCCUGCUAAAUAGACGUAUAAACUCGAUUUAACGAUCGAGCAGUCCGGUAUUCCGAGGGUUGUCCUUCGACUACUGGCCAUUGUUUAUCUGCUUCUUAUACUUACAUUUGUUGUGUAUGUAUGAUACUUGUAUUGCUUGCUUAAGCAAUGUAACUAGUUGUUUGUUGGCAAUCUUUACUACCGGCGUAUAUUUGUAUCUUCUUAGAGGGACAGGCGGCUUCUAGCCGCACGAGAUUGAGCAAUAACAGGUCUGUGAUGCCCUUAGAUGUUCUGGGCCGCACGCGCGCUACACUGAAGGAAUCAGCGUGUCCUCCCUGUCCGAGAGGUCCGGGUAAUCCGCUGAAACUCCUUCGUGCUAGGGAUUGGGGCUUGCAAUUAUUCCCCAUGAACGAGGAAUUCCCAGUAAGCGCGAGUCAUAAGCUCGCGUUGAUUACGUCCCUGCCCUUUGUACACACCGCCCGUCGCUACUACCGAUUGAAUGAUUUAGUGAGGUCUUCGGACCGGUACUCGGCCGACGUUUCGACGUCGCCGACGCUGCUGGGAAGAUGACCGAACUUGAUUAUUU
rnacentral:rRNA from 1 species